ensembl:lncRNA
AUGCAAAUACCUGAAAAAAGAACUGAAAGACAGCUCAAGUCAGGACACUGCCAGCAGGUGAAUGCAGCCAGGGAAGUGUGCAUGGGAUGUGGCUAUGGAGGAUCCUCUUGCACCCCUCCUGGGAAACCUGCAUGUUCGAUCACCUCUUUGAACUGCCUGUACACCAAUGCACGCAGCUUGGGGAACAAACAGGAAGAUCUAGAGAUCUGUGUGCAGUCGCAGGGCCAUGAUCUCAUUGCCAUUACAGAGACAUGGUGGGAUAGCUCGCAUGACAGGAGUGCUGUCAUGGAUGGCUGUGUGCUUUUUAGGAAAGACAGGCCAGGAAAGCGAGGUGGUGGAGUUGCUCUUUAUGUGAGAGAGCAACUGGAAUGUAUUGAGCUGUGCCUAGGGGUGGAUGAAGAGCAAGUCGAGAGCUUAUGGGUAAGGAUUAAAGAGCAGGCUAGCAUGGGUGACAUUGUUGUGGGUGCUUACUACAGGCCACCCGAUCAGGAAGAGGAAGUCGAUGAAGCCUUCUACAGACAGCUGGAAGUAGCCUCACGAUCCCAGGCCCUGGUUCUCAUGGAGGACUUCAACCACUCUGAUAUCUGCUGGAAAGACAACACAGCUAGRCACAAACAGUCCUGGAGGUUCCUGCAGAGCAUUGGUGAYAACUUCUUGACACAGGUGGUGGAGGAGCCAACAAGGAGAGGUGUGCUGCUGGACCUCGUACUAACAAACAAAGAAGGACUGGUKGRAGAUGUGAAGGUUGGGGGCAGCCUUGGCUGCAGUGACCAUGAGAUGGUGGAGUUCAGGAUCCUGCRAGGAGGAARCAGGGCAMKAAGUAGGAUCGCAACCCUGGACUUCAGGAGAGCAAACUUUGGCCUCUUCAGGGACCUACUUGGAGGAAUCCCAUGGGUUAGGGCCCUAGAAGGAAGGGGCGUUCAAGAGAGCUGGUUAAUAUUCAAGCAUUCCUUCCUCCAGGCUCAAGAGCGGUGCAUCCCUAUGAGUAGGAAGUCAAGCAAAGUAGGCAGGAGACCUGCAUGGAUGAGCAAGGAGCUCCUGGCAAAACUCAACCAGAAGAAGGAAGUAUACAGAAAGUGGAAAGGGGGACAGGCCAUUUGGGAGGAAUAUAGGAACGUUGUCAGAGUAUGCAGGAAUGCGCUGAGGAAGGCUAAGGCCCGUUUGGAAUUAAAUCUGGCUAGAGAUGUCAAGGACAACAAGAAGGGCUUCUUCAAAUACAUCAGUAACAAAAGGAAGUCUAGGGAGAAUGUGGGCCCUUUGCUGAAUGGGGUGGGUGCCCUGGUGAGGAAGGAUGCAGAGAAGGCAGAGUUACUGAAUGCUUUCUUUGCUUCAGUCUUUACUGCUCAGGCCAGCCCUCAGGAACCCCAGACCCUGGAGGCAAGAGAGAAAGUCUGGAGAAAGGAAGACUUUCCCUUGGUGGAGGAGGAUCGGGUUAGAGAUCAUUUAAGCARACYUGACACCCACAARUCCAUGGGCCCUGAUGGGAUGCACCCACGAGUGCUGAGGGAGCUGGCAGAUGUUAUUGCUAAGCCACUCUCCAUCAUCUUUGAAAGGUCAUGGAGAACAGGAGAGGUGCCUGGUUUUGGUCAUUUUGUGAGGUUUUCACACUUGGCUUUGAGGACUUCCCCCUUCCUCUCUUCCCUAAGUCAUGAAUGCUACUUGAAAAAUAGAUUCCUGAGGAUUUGA